rnacentral:rRNA from 1 species
UACGUAGGGUGCGAGCGUUGUCCGGAAUUAUUGGGCGUAAAGAGCUCGUAGGCGGCUUGUUGCGUCGACUGUGAAAACCCGCGGCUCAACCGUGUGGCUUGCAGUCGAUACGGGCAGGCUAGAGUUCGGUAGGGGAGACUGGAAUUCCUGGUGUAGCGGUGAAAUGCGCAGAUAUCAGGAGGAACACCGGUGGCGAAGGCGGGUCUCUGGGCCGAUAUUGACGCUGAGGAGCGAAAGCGUGGGGAGCGAACAGG